GUGUUUUGGCGACUCUUCUCAGUGGAAAUCGGAGAAAGAACUCAGGAAGAAUGCUUAAAAUCGAAGACGAUCUUUAGCGAUUUCGAUGGUGAAAUUCAAAGAAGAAAGAAAAGGCCUUAAAUAGAUGAUUCCUAGGGUUUGUGGCUGGUUUUUAGAUCGCUCUAGAACUCCCAGAGUCCGGCGAUAAUGGAGGAGGAAGAAGACUCCAGUCGGGAGUCUUCUCCUUCUCCCAAUCGCGAGCAACAAGGGCUCGCUUGAUCCUCUCGGGCCGGCCCAUUAGUGAAAAAAAAUUGGCCAUUGUUUAGUCCCACAUCAGUUAUUCACUGGGUAGAUUUUGGGUACCUAUACAAGAUCAAGGAAUCCAAGCAAUAGCUUCUGACUAGCAAUUUUGGAUGAGAUCCUAAAUUAUUACAAAUGGUAUUAGAGCGGACCUGGUCUAAAAUCUAUGUGGACUAGAGGACACUAUAGCACAGAUUCAUUGGGGCUGACCAUAGGCCGAUCGUGGUGCUUGUGAUUAGAUUUGAAUGGANN
rnacentral:lncRNA from 1 species